rnacentral:rRNA from 1 species
CAGUAACGGCGAGUGAAGCGGCAACAGCUCAAAUUUGAAAUCUGGCUCCUUCGGGGUCCGAAUUGUAAUUUGUAGAGAGUGCUUCGGGCGAAACCUCGGUCUAAGUCCAUUGGAACAUGGUGUCAUAGAGGGUGAGAAUCCCGUAUGCGACCGUGGCUCGAGCCCAUGUGAAGCCUCUUCGACGAGUCGAGUUGUUUGGGAAUGCAGCUCAAAAUGGGUGGUAAAUUUCAUCUAAAGCUAAAUACUGGCUGGAGACCGAUAGCGCACAAGUAGAGUGAUCGAAAGAUGAAAAGCACUUUGGAAAGAGAGUCAAACAGUACGUGAAAUUGUUGAAAGGGAAGCGCUUGCAACCAGACCUGCCCGUAGGCGAUCAGCCGCUGUCCUCAGCGGUGUACUCGCUCUGCGAUCAGGCCAGCAUCGGUUUCGGCGGUCGGAUAAAGACCUUGGGAAUGUAGCUUCCCUUCGGGGAAGUCUUAUAGCCCUCGGUGCAAUGCGGCCAGCCGGGACCGAGGACCGCGCUUCGGCUAGGAUGCUGGCGUAAUGGUUGUAAGCGACCCGUCUUGAAACACGGACCAAGGAGUCUAACAUCUAUGCGAGUGUUUGGGUGUCAAACCCAUACGCGGAAUGAAAGUGAACGGAGGUGAGAACCCUCAAGGGCGCAUCAUCGACCGAUCCAGAUGUCUUCGGAUGGAUUUGAGUAUGAGCAUAGCUGUUGGGACCCGAAAGAUGGUGAACUAUGCCUGAAUAGGGUGAAGCCAGAGGAAACUCUGGUGGAGGCUCGCAGCGGUUCUGACGUGCAAAUCGAUCGUCAAAUUUGGGUAUAGGGGCGAAAGACUAAUC